UACAGAGGGUGCAAGCGUUGCUCGGAAUUAUUGGGCGUAAAGGGUAGGUAGGUGGUCUCAUUUGUCUGAGGUGAAAGCCUUGAGCUUAACUCAAGAAGUGCCUCAGAAACGGUGGGACUCGAGUCCUGGAGAGGGUCGUGGAAUUCCCGGUGUAGCGGUGAAAUGCGUAGAGAUCGGGAGGAACACCAGAGGCGAAGGCGGCGACCUGGACAGGUACUGACACUAAACUACGAAAGCGUGGGGAGCAAACAGG
rnacentral:rRNA from 1 species